GCGUCAUCUCCCGGGUUGCGGAAAAUGGCGGAGGCUCUACAGGAACCCGGGCGGUACUUCUGUCACAACUGCUCGGUUGAGAUCAGCCCCCGGUUCCCGGUGAGACAGAGGGGAUAUUUCGGUAGUAGAAUUAGAGGUCAGGGUGGAUAAGAGGUUGAAAACCCCACUAACCAUGCUGGCUGGGUUGUCAUUGAGUUUCACGUCAAGAUGCUCGGUGGAAUGGGCUAAUCUCCGGGUAAUGGUAAAAACGGAGAAGGGGGUUAUCUACG